rnacentral:rRNA from 1 species
CAGAGGUUGCAAGCGUUAAUCGGAUUUACUGGGCGUAAAGCGUGUGCAGGUGGCUGUACAAGUCGGUUGUGAAAUCCCUGGGCUCAACCCGGGAACUGCUUCCGAGACUGUACGGCUGGAGAUCGGUAGAGGGCGGUGGAAUUUCCGGUGUAGCGGUGAAAUGCGUAGAUAUCGGAAGGAACACCAAUGGCGAAGGCAGCCGCCUGGGCCUGAUCUGACACUGAGACACGAAAGCGUGGGGAUCAAACAGGAUUAGAUACCCUGGUAGUCCACGCCGUAAACGAUGGGUACUUGACGUCGGUAUGCUCUGCGUAUCGGUGUCGUAGCUAACGCGAUAGGUACCCCGCCUGGGGAGUACGGCCGCAAGGUUG